AGAGUUUGAUCCUGGCUCAGAAUGAACGCUGGCGGCGUGCUUAACACAUGCAAGUCGUACGAGAACGCUCUAGCUUGCUAGAGCAAGUAAAGUGGCGCACGGGUGAGUAACGCGUGGAUAAUCUACCUUCGAAUUGGGGAUAACGUUGCGAAAGCGACGCUAAUACCGAAUAAUAUCCAUUAACCUUCGGUUUUUUGGAUCAAGGGUGGCCUCUACAUGUAAGCUACUGUUUGAAGAUGAGUCCGCGUACCAUUAGCUUGUUGGUGGGGUAACGGCCUACCAAGGCAACGAUGGUUAGCUGGUCUGAGAGGAUGAUCAGCCACACUGGAACUGACACACGGUCCAGACUCCUACGGGAGGCAGCAGUGAGGAAUUUUGCGCAAUGGCGAAAGCCUGACGCAGCAACGCCGCGUGAGUGAUGAAGGCUUUCGGGUCGUAAAGCUCUGUCAAGUGGGAAGAACCUAUAUAAUGCCAAUACCAUUAUAUACUGACGGUACCACUGAAGGAAGCACCGGCUAACUCCGUGCCAGCAGCCGCGGUAAUACGGGGGGUGCAAGCGUUAUUCGGAAUCAUUGGGCGUAAAGAGCACGUAGGCGGCCUGGUAAGUCAGAUGUGAAAGCCCGGGGCUUAACCCCGGAAGUGCAUUUGAUACUGCCAGGCUUGAGUAUGGGAGAGGGAAGUGGAAUUCCUGGUGUAGAGGUGAAAUUCGUAGAUAUCAGGAGGAACACCGGUGGCGAAGGCGACUUCCUGGACCAAUACUGACGCUGAGGUGCGAAGGCGUGGGUAGCAAACAGGAUUAGAUACCCUGGUAGUCCACGCAGUAAACGUUGUUCACUAGGUGUAGCGGGUAUUGACCCCUGCUGUGCCGCAGUUAACGCAUUAAGUGAACCGCCUGGGGAGUACGGCCGCAAGGUUAAAACUCAAAGGAAUUGACGGGGGCCCGCACAAGCGGUGGAGCAUGUGGUUUAAUUCGACGCAACGCGAAGAACCUUACCUGGAUUUGACAUCCUGGGAAUCCUAUCGAAAGACUGGAGUGCCCUUCGGGGAGCCCGGAGACAGGUGCUGCAUGGCUGUCGUCAGCUCGUGUCGUGAGAUGUUGGGUUAAGUCCCGCAACGAGCGCAACCCUUGUCUUUAGUUACCAUCAUUCAGUUGGGGACUCUAAAGAUACUGCCCCGGUCAACGGGGAGGAAGGUGGGGAUGACGUCAAGUCCUCAUGGCCUUUAUGUCCAGGGCUACACACGUGCU
rnacentral:rRNA from 1 species